rnacentral:rRNA from 1 species
AUACCCGCGCCCCAAGUGGUGGUCGAUAUUAUUGAGCCUAAAACGUCCGUAGCCGGUCUUCUAAAUCCUUGGGUAAAUCGGGCAGCUUAACUGUCCGAAGUCCGGGGAGACUGGGAGACUUGGGACCGGGAGAGGUCAGAGGUACUUCUGGGGUAGGGGUAAAAUCCUGUAAUCCUGGAAGGACCACCGGUGGCGAAGGCGUCUGACUAAAACGGAUCCGACGGUGAGGGACGAAGCCCUGGGGCGCAAACGGGAUUAGAUACCCCGGUAGUCCAGGGUGUAAACGCUGCGGGCUUGGUGUUGGGGGUCCUUAGUGGGCGCCCAGUGCCGGAGAGAAGUUGUUAAGCCUGCUGCUUGGGGAGUAUGUCCGCAAGGAUGAAACUUAAAUGAAUUGGCGGGG